GGAUGAAGAACGUAGCGAAAUGCGAUAACUAAUGUGAAUUGCAGAAUUCAGUGAAUCAUCGAGUCUUUGAACGCACAUUGCGCCCCCUGGUAUUCCGGGGGGCAUGCCUGUCCGAGCGUCAUUGCUGCCCUCAAGCACGGCUUGUGUGUUGGGCUCCGUCCCCCCGGGGACGGGUCCGAAAGGCAGCGGCGGCACCGAGUCCGGUCCUCGAGCGUAUGGGGCUUUGUCACCCGCUCUGUAGGCCCGGCCGGCGCCAGCCGACAACCAAUCAUCCUUUUUUCAGGUUGACCUCGGAUCAGGUAGGGAUACCCGCUGAACUUAAGCAUAUCAAUAAGCGGAGGA
rnacentral:misc_RNA from 1 species